rnacentral:rRNA from 1 species
GAUGAACGCUGGCGGCGUGCCUAACACAUGCAAGUCGAGCGAAUGGAUUAAGAGCUCGCUCUUAUGAAGUUAGCGGCGGACGGGUGAGUAACACGUGGGUAACCUACCCAUAAGACUGGGAUAACUCCGGGAAACCGGGGCUAAUACCGGAUAACAUUUUGAACCGCAUGGUUCGAAAUUGAAAGGCGGCUUCGGCUGUCAAUUAUGGAUGGACCCGCGUCGCAUUAGCUAGUUGGUGAGGUAACGGCUCACAAAGGCAACGAUGCGUAGCCGACCUGAGAGGGUGAUCGGCCACACUGGGACUGAGACACGGCCCAGACUCCUACGGGAGGCAGCAGUAGGGGAUCUUCCGCAAUGGACGAAAGUCUGACGGAGCAACGCCGCGUGAGUGAUGAAGGCUUUCGGGUCGUAAAACUCUGUUGUUAGGGAAGAACAAGUGCUAGUUGAAUAAGCUGGCACCUUGACGGUACCUAACCAGAAAGCCACGGCUAACUACGUGCCAGCCGCCGCAGUAA